UGGGGAAUAUUGGACAAUGGGCGAAAGCCUGAUCCAGCAAUGCCGCGUGAGCGAUGAAGGCCUUAGGGUUGUAAAGCUCUUUUACCCGGGAUGAUAAUGACAGUACCGGGAGAAUAAGUCCCGGCUAACUCCGUGCCAGCAGCCGCGGUAAUACGGAGGGGGCUAGCGUUGUUCGGAAUUACUGGGCGUAAAGCGCGCGUAGGCGGCUUUGUAAGUCAGAGGUGAAAGCCUGGAGCUCAACUCCAGAACUGCCUUUGAAACUACGUCGCUAGAAUCAUGGAGAGGUUAGUGGAAUUCCGAGUGUAGAGGUGAAAUUCGUAGAUAUUCGGAAGAACACCAGUGGCGAAGGCGACUAACGGGACAUGUAUUGACGCUGAGGUGCGAAAGCGUGGGGAGCAAA
rnacentral:rRNA from 1 species